rnacentral:rRNA from 1 species
AUUGAACGCUGGCGGCAGGCCUAACACAUGCCAGUCGAGCGGAUGAAGGGAGCUUGCUCCUGGAUUCAGCGGCGGACGGGUGAGUAAUGCCUAGGAAUCUGCCUGGUAGUGGGGGAUAACGUCCGGAAACGGGCGCUAAUACCGCAUACGUCCUGAGGGAGAAAGUGGGGGAUCUUCGGACCUCACGCUAUCAGAUGAGCCUAGGUCGGAUUAGCUAGUUGGUGGGGUAAAGGCCUACCAAGGCGACGAUCCGUAACUGGUCUGAGAGGAUGAUCAGUCACACUGGAACUGAGACACGGUCCAGACUCCUACGGGAGGCAGCAGUGGGGAAUAUUGGACAAUGGGCGAAAGCCUGAUCCAGCCAUGCCGCGUGUGUGAAGAAGGUCUUCGGAUCGUAAAGCACUUUAAGUUGGGAGGAAGGGCAGUAAGUUAAUACCUUGCUGUUUUGACGUUACCAACAGAAUAAGCACCGGCUAACUUCGUG